rnacentral:lncRNA from 1 species
AACUCUUUUCCAUUCUGAGCAAUGAAACACUCAAGUGUUGAAGCUUCAACGCAAAUGUUUCCAAUACUAAACAAAAUCUAAGUAUGUGUCAACAAGACUAUACAAAGGAUAAACAUCAUACAUUCCAACACAUUCAUACAUAAACAUCAUACAUUCCAUUACAUUCAUACAUAAACAUCAUACAUUCCAACACAUUCAUGCAUAAACAUCAUACAUUCCAACACAUCCAUACAUAAGCCAACUGUGCUUUGAAAGGGUUCAACACACUUUGUGUCAUUCGACAUUUGCCACAAUGUACCUCGACACCUUGCCCUUAUUCUCACCAACUAGGUGAUGAAGGAACUCACUUUCAUACCACCAACUAGGUGAUGAAAUGUACAUCCCGUACUCUAAUAUUAUUUGGAAACUUGCCACCCUUAUCACCAAUCAGGUGAAGAAGGAACUCAUCUUCAUGCCACCAACCAGGUGAUGAAAUGUACAACGCGUACUUUCCUUCAUGUCACCAACCAGGUGAUGAAAUGUGAUGAAAGGUGAUUAAGGAAUUCACAUUCGUACCACCAACCAAGUGAUGAAAGCAACCUAUCAUUCAUUCCAUUAACCAGAAGACGAGUGGUACAACUUGUACAUGUGAACUCCUAGCAUUCACAAAUAAUCAAAAACCAUCAAACUUUAUAACUCAACUAGGGGAGCACUUAUGCCUAACAAGAGCUAUAGUCACCAACAAAGUCUUAUUGCAAGCCAACAAUGGCUUCAGUGCAUGAUAUACGAAGAUCAAGCUCUUCAGCCCUUUUGCAUCUGCUUCAGACAUUUCUCCUCUGUAACAAUGCAAACACUACAACUCAUAGAAAGCUUCAAACGCUCUUGAUCAAGACUGUUUGAAGCAAAUUCAAUUUAUAUGGUUCAUCCAAACCUUCGACUACUACAAGAUGUGGCUU